AGCGAACGCUGGCGGCAGGCCUAACACAUGCAAGUCGAACGAACUCUUCGGAGUUAGUGGCGGACGGGUGAGUAACACGUGGGAACGUGCCUUUAGGUUCGGAAUAACUCAGGGAAACUUGUGCUAAUACCGAAUGUGCCCUUCGGGGGAAAGAUUUAUCGCCUUUAGAGCGGCCCGCGUCUGAUUAGCUAGUUGGUUGGGGUAAUGGCCCACCAAGGCGACGAUCAGUAGCUGGUCUGAGAGGAUGACCAGCCACAUUGGGACUGAGACACGGCCCAAACUCCUACGGGAGGCAGCAGUGGGGAAUCUUGCGCAAUGGGCGAAAGCCUGACGCAGCCAUGCCGCGUGUAUGAUGAAGGUCUUAGGAUUGUAUAAUCCUUUCACCGGUGAAGAUAAUGACUGUAGCCGGAGAAGAAGCCCCGGCUAACUUCGUGCCAGCCGCCGCCGUAACAC
rnacentral:rRNA from 1 species